rnacentral:rRNA from 1 species
GUGUGGUGAAAUGUUGGGUUAAGUCCCACAACGAGCGCAACCCUUAUCCUUUGUUGCCAACGGUUAGGCCGGGAACUCAAAGGAGACUGCCAGUGAUAAACUGGAGGAAGGUGGGGAUGACGUCAAGUCAUCAUGGCCCUUACGAGUAGGGCUACACACGUGCUACAAUGGCGCAUACAAAGAGAAGCGACCUCGCGAGAGCAAGCGGACCUCAUAAAGUGCGUCGUAGUCCGGAUUGGAGUCUGCAACUCGACUCCAUGAAGUCGGAAUCGCUAGUAAUCGUGGAUCAGAAUGCCACGGUGAAUACGUUCCCGGGCCUUGUACACACCGCCCGUCACAGGCAUGGGAGUGGGUUGCAAAAGAAGUAGGUAGCUUAACCUUCGGGAGGGCGCUUACCCACUU